rnacentral:rRNA from 1 species
GGAAAUCGCGUGCCAGCUGCCGCGUGAAGUGGAGUGGGUCAAGCGUGAAUCGUAAUUACUGGUCGUAAUGUGGGCGUAGGCGGUUCGUUAAGUCUGUCGUGGAAUCCCCGGGCUCAACCUGGGAAUGGCGAUUGAUACUGGCGAGCUAGAGUGUGUCAGAGGAUGGUGGAAUUCCCGGUGUAGCGGUGAAAUGCGUAGAGAUCGGGAGGAACAUCAGUGGCGAAGGCGGCCAUCUGGGACAACACUGACGCUGAAGCACGAAAGCGUGGGGAGCAAACAGGAUUAGAUACCCGAGUAGUC